UACGGAGGGUGCAAGCGUUAUCCGGAUUCACUGGGUUUAAAGGGAGCGUAGGUGGGCUGGUAAGUCAGUGGUGAAAUCUCCGGGCUUAACUCGGAAACUGCCGUUGAUACUAUCAGUCUUGAAUAUUGUGGAGGUAAGCGGAAUAUGUCAUGUAGCGGUGAAAUGCUUAGAUAUGACAUAGAACACCGAUAGCGAAGGCAGCUUGCUACACAAUUAUUGACACUGAGGACGAAAGCGUGGG
rnacentral:rRNA from 1 species